UACGUAGGUGGCGAGCGUUGUCCGGAUUUACUGGGCGUAAAGGGAGCGUAGGCGGACUUUUAAGUGAGAUGUGAAAUACUCGGGCUCAACUUGAGUGCUGCAUUUCAAACUGGGAGUCUAGAGUGCAGGAGAGGAGAAUGGAAUUCCUAGUGUAGCGGUGAAAUGCGUAGAGAUUAGGAAGAACACCAGUGGCGAAGGCGAUUCUCUGGACUGUAACUGACGCUGAGGCUCGAAAGCGUGGGGAGCAAACAGG
rnacentral:rRNA from 1 species